CGAAGAACUCCAUUGAUUUGCUCUUUCUCUCCCUCCAAGAACUUAGGUUGAUGUCCACACUUCACUGCCAUCUCCAAAUCCUCUAUAGCUUGGUUCUUUUCUUUGUCGUUGGUUGUCUUUGUAUAAGUAAAACAAGUUAGUUUUUCAAAUGCUUCUACUAGAUAAUGACUAUGUAUAAAACCGUGAGGAAAGAGUGAAAUAUAGGAACCUGAGAUCUCUUUUGCAGAAGCUGCAGCAACAAAAACAGUAGCAUAGGAGAAGAGACAGAAGCUGCAGCAACAACAACAGUAGCAUAGGACAAGAGAGCACAAACAGAAGCUUGGAGGCGAAUCAAGUGCAACCUGAAAAAUAACAUGAUCCGAGUAAGUAAUUCAAUCACACCUAAUAUAUAUACGGAGAUCGAAACUGUUAGAGACAAUGUUUAAACCAUUUUGACAAGAAUCAAGAAGAAGAUUAUAUUUACUUACUUAGGCUAAAUAAGUGACCAGAAAAAGACUGUCUUUUAACACCAAAUCCAGUGAGAUGGUCUUAACAAAGUUACAGCUUAAUGGACCAUAUGAAGUUAAGAGAUAAAACCAAACCUGUUUCUUGCCCAAUUAUAUUGUUGUACACCAGCAAAAGGAGCAAAUUGGAGCAAUAGAAAACCAUCUUUUGACAACUUGAAAGCUCCAGACUGCAAAAAAAAACAAAAAUCAAAUGGAAAACUCAUACUUGAAAGCUUUCCUAAUUUUUUGAGAUAAAUCGGUUACAAAAAGACAACAUUUCUUACUUAUAGUGAUGAAAGAUGUGUAAUUUAGUUUUAGAAGAAACAAGAUCACGUACCAGUUGAUUUAGAAUUUCCAAAAUAUUAAACUUAUUCUCUUAAAAGAUAAACAAGUUGAAAGCUACGAGAAAAUAUUCGACGAACCUGACUGAGGCAAAGGAAGAAACAAAGAAGGAGAGAACCUUGACUACGUCACUUCUAGAGACUCCAGGAUUCCAUCUCUCUCUGCUUCACAACUUACCAAAAGAAAAUAAUUUCGAAACAAAUGUGAUCUCACCAUAUAUCCAACAAACAGCGGAUACUAAACGCACAUACUCCAUUUCUCUAGCGUCAAAAGAUUCAUCCACCCUAUAAGAAAGGCAAAACAACAACAAUCCUAUAUCAAUCUCCGAUGAAACAAACAUAUGAUUUUUCAUGUAAGCUGCAUUUGAUUCAAAAUCCAGUUAAUAACAAUAGCCUUUGCAGUCGCUUUUUUACACAUAUACCAAAAACUAAGACAAAGUAAGCUUACAGUUUUGCUAUAUAUCAAGAGGUAAGAAUUCAGAACCUACAAAAAAAAAAAGAGAUUGUUUAAUUAAUCUCCAGAACUGAGAUAAACAAACAAACAAAGACAUUUUCUUAGUUCACAAAUCUUACCAUGAAAGAGUAGUUUAUGGCCAGAGAAGAAGCAAGAGAACAAAAAGAGUGACAAAACAAAGUGGGUGCAAACAAUGCAAUCAAAGCAAUGAUUCAAAUCAUACAUUUAGCUAGAUCUUAUCAAAUGAGAUAAGAAAAGAUAAGCCAACUUAAAAACACACGAUAGGUAUGCUUCAUCUUGUAAAUAAACCAAAACCAACAAAACUAUUUGCAGACACAAAUCCAAAACCAACUUACAUAUGUGGCUACUAAAAACUAUGUAAUUCCUUUCAAGCAACAAACCCAAAAAAAAAAAAAGACUCCAUCUUCAAUGGUUGAAUCGAUGAAGAGGUAAGAGUAAGUAGUAGUACCUCAAGUUUGGAGCUUCAUUACCUAAAGAACAAAAACGUAUCUAAAGUCAAAAUCAACAAUGAUGAGAUGAUUAAAUCAACAAAAGGGACCAAAAGAAGAAAUCCAAACCCCGUAAUUACUACGACCAUGUGUUCACUCUUUCUCAGUCUUCGUCUUCACAGUUCUCAUAUUCACAGUAAUUGCCGUCACUUACCAACCACCAGAUCCAUGGCUUGAAUCUGCUCCAGCUCUCACCAAACUCCUAACCGAAACCAAAAACGCAAUUUUCAAAAUCGGUGAAGAUAUGCUUCUUCUUCUCCGGUUUCAGCUCCGGCGGUGCAAGUUACGGAGGCGACGAUUGAGAAAUCCGAGGAGAGAAUCGGGAAUAUGACGGUGAAGAUGAGUUUAGGGUUCAUAAGUUAAGAAAUCUGAAAUAGAAGUACCUUUACUGUGUUCCGUCGUGACGACGAGCUUCACUGUGGAGGCCGGCGACGAGCUUCACGCUAUGUCUCAGAUCCAACAAAUCUCUUUCUUCGACUUGGUAUUUUUUUUUUUUUUGGAGAUAUGUUUUAUUUUGUGGUAAAGUGAAGGGUUUUAAUUUUUGGACUUUGGCGUUUUAAGUUUUUGGAUCUAAAACAUAUGGCGCUUAAGUGAAUUAUUUCGCCUAAGUAUUGGCGGAACGAGUGAUUUUAGCUUUCUAUUUGGUGAUUUUCUAUUUUAGCGUUGUUUCAGUGCUAUUAUAUAUAAUUCAAAUCAAAAACUUAUCUUUCAUAGCAGUUACGGAAAAUGAGCUAUCAUCAUGUGCUAUCAAUGUGGAUAUUUCUUGUAGUGUAACAAAGUAAUCUUAACACAAAGCUCUUUUUCUUUUCUUGGUCCUGUAAAACUGUCAUAAGCACAAACUUCAACCGACAAAAAUUUAACUAAAAGGAAAGCAAAUAAAGAUUACCAAAGAUAUGGAGAAUCUUGUUUUUCCACGUUGUUAAAAAGUGGGUGAAAAGCUAUUCGUUUUGUCAAAGGAACAUUUCAUUUCAAUCAUUAAGAUUUUAGAACAAUGAUACUUAAACAUUAGUUAAUUGUAUUUAAAUAUAUUCUUUCAAUGCAUUUAUCAUUAUAAAAAAAUGGGUUAUAUUAAUAUAAAUACACAGAAGACUUAUAAAUUAAGAAUACACCUAUAGUUUUUAUAUAAUUAAUUCUCUCUCAUCAACUUAUAUAAAUUGGACAAAAAUACCUCUCCGUAUAUAACAAAUUAUUUAGCAAUAUAAGAAAAUUGUUAUCGACGUUUUAUAUCUGAUUCUAACGAAUCAAAUACAUAGGUAAGAACAUAUUAUGAGUUAACUGAUUAUCUAUUAGGUUAGCAUGAUAACAUAAUAUAUAUCGAUAAGUUUAUAAAUAUAUCGUGUUAAAUCAUAUUGUAUCGCGAUAAGUUUAUAAUUUAUGUAAUAAACUUAUAUUUAUCGUGGCAACUCAUUUGUUAUAUUAUAUACAAAGAACUAGUUACAUAUAUUAUAAUGUUUGUGUGGAUAACUAUUCGAUUAACAUGUUAACAAGUAUUUUAUCGACAUUAGAAAUCAAAUAAGAGAAAGAAAACCUGAAAUAAUCUACUGGGUUUUUUCAAUUUCCUCGUCACAACUCUCUUUACCGUCUCCGAGAUGCUCCAUCUUCUCCCCCACCCAUGACAAUUCCACUGCCGUGAGUCUAAGAGCAGGCGAUGUUGCUUCCUUCGUCUCUUCUCCUUUAAUCGCCGUUUUACUUCUCGUCUCCAUCAAAGGUUUCAUCGUAGUAAUAGUAACCACUAGCAGCGUCAUGAUUCCGGUGAAAUCAAACUACUUCUCGUCUCCAUCAAAGGAUCCACCGGAAUAGUAGUGACCACUACCUCGUUCUCAUCCCCCCCAAUUACCAAAUUCAUCUAAUUCUUAUCGACGAUCAUCAAUUCAAUUUCAAUUCCCAGAAACUAGGGAUGCUUAUAAGAUCCACUCUCAUAACAUUUCUCCACAAGAAAGGAUUAAAAUAAUCUCAAGCUUUGAUUCUCCAGCCAACAUUUGUAUAUAUAUACUGUCCAAUCCGGAUCUUCUUCCUCCAACACCAUUUCUUUUCUUUUUUCUCAUCUAAUUUCUCUUUCUUCUCGCAUAGAUAACGGACAAAAGAGAGAAAUAUGAAUGUUGAAGUUAAGGGCAAAAUAGUCUAAAUUUGUUGUACAGUAGACGAUAAAAUUGAAGAGGAGAGAAAACUAAUUUUUCAAUCCUCUGUAGUCACCGCGUAUAGAUUCCCUAAAAAAAUUCCGGUCAAAUUUUAGGAGAGGAGAGGGGAGGGGGUUUAUUGGUUCAUGGAUUUAUAAGGAUUUGAAAAUCCAAAACAAAAAUCAUAUGUUAUUCAAUCAUUGAUUUUAAAAUCAUAAUUAAAAUAAUUUGUUAUUAGUUCUAUGAUUUAUAAUACUAUUUAAAAUUCUAUAUUAUUCGUUUAGUCAUUUGUUUUUGGAUUGUAAAAUCCAAAUUAUAUUUUAAAUGGAUUUGAAUGGAUUUAAAAGAGAAAAAUAGAAGGAUUCAAAUCCAUGGGUAAACACAUAUUAAUUCAAAAUUCAUAUAUCUUGAUUUCAUAAUUAAUAAAGAUUUUUAAAUCCUAUAUGAAUUUACAAAUCAAUAAACCAAUAACAUUCAAUCUCUUAUCGUAUGUGUUCAUUUAUUUAUUCUAGAUAAAAGAGGUCAACAAAAUGCUACCUUCAAGGAGAUCCUACAGUAGGUCCACUUGGUGACGACAACUACGACUUCAUAGUCGAGUAUUCAACAAAGGAGGACGAAGCAAACCAGCAAAUCAUGAUGAUAAAGAAAGAUCCACUUUAUAAACGCUACCUUCAAGGAGAUCCUACAGUAGGUCCACUUGGUGACGACAACUUCGACUUCAUAGUCGAGUAUUCAACAAAGGAGGACGAAGCAAACCAGCAAAUCAUGAUGAUAAAGAUGGAUUUUCCUCCACCAAAAGACUUUGUCAAGGACAAUAUUGUGCAUACACCAAAGAUCGUUCCAAACAACAUCAACUCUAUUGGAUCCGACGAAUUAAGCCAAGCAGAGAAGGUUCUCAACUGGCAAACAGAAAAUGCCUUUGUUCAGAAUCAAUUAUUGUCAACCAUUAGCCACAAGGUUGAUCAAAUGUCGGAAAACAACAAUAGAAGAUUUAACAGUCUGCAAGGAGCCAUAUCGGAGAUUCAACAGAAACUCAGCAACUUGCACCAUGAAAUGAUGUCUAUGGCAAAACAAAUGAAAGUUGAUACGUCACAGUUCAGAAGUAAAGAAGCUGAACAAACCAAUCUCAAAUAUCAACUCAAAGACCUUCAAAGGAGCCUAGAUAGUCUAGUCCAGAAUCAGAGGCGAGUUAAUGUGUAUAAUCCGUUUGACUAUAUGUCAUCUGGAUUACCCACAUAUCAAGAAUAGUAUUCCCCAGGGUUUCUGUCUGGUUAUCAAGAUCCAAGACCGAAACAGCCUGUACCUGGAUUCUUAUCCUCAGAUGAAGCCUUUACAUCUCGGUUUGGUACAACUUCAAUCAGCAAUUUUAAAACAAAAGCGGCAAGAACUAGACCAAGGCAUUAAAAGGAUUCUGAAUUUCAAAUUAAUCCAUCCAAGAAGCCAAGUUUUGCAUCUUCAUCAAGCCAUGAGUCCGUUCAAGAUGAAAAGAAAGAGGAUGUUGCAAAGAAGGAAGAUAUUGCGAUGAUCGAGUUUUCAAUGUCUAGUUUACUAGACAAUCUUGUGAAGACAUCUGACGACGAAAGACAAGAAUUGCAAAUUCAAUCAAAAGAGCAGCAGCCGCUACCAAUCGUUACAAUGACUCACAUUUCAGCUCUUUCGGAUUCAACCUCUUCCGUCAAGGAAUCAGAAACAGAUGAAUCUCUUCCAAAUCAGUUUGCGAUAGGAGAUGAGUCACAUAUUCCAACAGAAGAACCAAUCUAUGAAGUAAUUUCAAGUGACGAAGAGAUGGGCUAUGAAACUCAAGGUGUACCAAAGAAGCAGUUUUCAUCAAAGAUAAUGGUGUUCACAUUUGAUGACAUUCCUUUUGAAAAAUGGAAUAGUCGUCUUGACGAAUUCCAUGCGUGGAUGACCUCCGAAGCAAUCACGUCCCCAACAGAUAUGGUGAUACAACAAUUCACAUCGAGACUUUCAGGCGCAUUAAAAGAAUGGUGGAAUUCGCUUAGAGAAUAUCGGCAGUAGCAGGUGUAUCAGACAACGAUACCUCUACUUCUUGGAGAAAUACAUAGAGAAUUCGUUGGCACCCCAAGUCAUUUAAAAGAACAACUACAAGAAGAGUUCUACACAGCAAAGUGUUGUUCAUUGAAGAAGAGAGAUUUAGCAAAGCAUUUCGCUCGAAGGUAUUAUGCUCUCAAUGGUCUAAACAAUCCAAGCCUGAAGCAAGUAUAUCUCUCAUCAAUAGAUGACUACCUAAGUCAACAAACGAAGCUGUAUAUCAGAGAUCAAGGACAGACAAUCGAAGAAAUCUCGAUUGGACAAAUCCAGCAGCACGUGUUCAGAACCCUUGACAAGCUUUGUAAGCAAAAGGAGUUUUGGUCAGAAUUCAUGGACAAAUCAAAGCAUCUUUCGAAGAUAUGUGCUCGUCCGGAUCUGAACAUCAAAUGUUCGAAAAAGAAAAAAUGUUCAUGUGAAGAUCGAUGAAAAGACCAAAGAAGAUCCAAGAAAUCAUUCUUGAAAUCGAAGUAUUUCAACAAGAUUAAACGCAAGAGAUUCUUCAGAAAGAAGAAACGCUUCAAGAAAACUUUGAGAUGUUUUCUAUGCAGAAAGACGGGGCAUUUUGCAAAAGACUGUCCAAACAAGUCUAAAAAGAAGAAGCAAUAUCUCAUUCACUCGAUAUCCAAGAUAGCUCCAGAUCUUGAUAUCGAUAACCACGAUCUUGAGUCAAUACUAUCUUAUGAGAGUGACGAGAAUGAUGCUAUAUGCAGUUAUUCAGAUUAUGAUGAAUCUUCAGAAUCCUCAUCCGAAGAUGAAAAAGGCGAUUGUUGUUUCAAGAUUGCCCAGAUGCCUCAAGAAGAUGAACUGCAGACACCGCAUCUACCAGUAACCAUCUUUGAUCCCUCAAGAAGAGAAAAACCAGUACAUGCAAUCGCAUUCAUCGACACAGGAGCUCAUACAACAAUCAUAAACCCAAAGAUUCUCUCACGAAACAUGUGGAUGCCUCAUCAACAAGAUUUCAGAGUCGCAAACUCUGGAUCCCUAACGGUUAAGCUGAAAUCAAAACCAAUCACGAUAGAGCUUUUUCCAGGAUGUCAUGUUACUAAGGAAGUACUAGGUUCAUCUGUACCUGGUAAAGACUUAAUCCUUGGAUGGGAUACAUAUUCGGUACUGAAAAAGAAGUUCGGCAUUUCUCUAGAACCAAGAGGUGUGAGAUGGAAAAAUCUCUACAAGGCUUUUACCACGAUGCAUCGCUUGUUCUCAAUCGAAGACUCAGUAUCUGCGGGGUUCAAUAAAAUUGAAGAAGAAUUAAAGAUGACAUCAUGCGCUGAUUCACACACGGAGUUCCUUCAAAAGUGUAAUCAUCCGCUAUGGUUGAACUAAGACUUCUUCGUAUCCCUACCAUUCAAGGAAGACAUACACACAACACCGACAAAGGUAAGCCAUGCAGGAAUGCCUCUAACAUUGUUGCAGAAGGCAAAUGAAGAAUGCAAUCAAUUGGUGGAUCAAGGUAUCAUCUCAAGAACAAACUCUCCAUGGGCAUGCAAAGUGUUCUACGUCAAUAAUCGUGCUGAACAAGCCAGAGGAAAACUCAGAUUGGUUAUUGACUACAAGCCAUUGACCAGUAUCUGCAAGAUGUCAAGUUUCCACUACCAAAUAAAAGAGCGCUUCUCCAACAUCUCCAAGGUGCAAAAAUAUUUUCGAAGUUUGAUCUAAAAUCAGGAUUUUGGCAACUCGGAGUUCAUCCUGAAGAAAGAUACAAGACUGUAUUUUGCCUUCCAAAUAGACAUCUUCAAUGGAAUGUCUUACCCUUUGGUCUCAAGACGGCGCCAUCACUAUUUCAACAAGCAAUGUUACGUAUAUUCGAGCCAUUGUUAUACACAGCUCUUAUAUACAUUGACGACAUACUCAUCUUCUCAAAAAAUGAAGAAGAGCAUAUUCAGGCGCUACAACAGUUUCAAGACAUUGUCAAGAAGAACGGGAUCAUGCUAUCAGCCAGAAAGAUGAUAAUAGCCCAGCCCAACAUUGAUUUUCUUGGCAUGCAUAUCAAAGAAGGAAGUUUCAUACCACAAGCCCAUUUAGCUACAGAACUUCUGGAUUUUCCCGAUGAAAAUCUUACAAGGCGACAAAUUCAACAAUUUCUUGGCGUAAUCAAUUAUGUGGGAGACUUCAUUCCACACCUUUCCAGAAUGACGAGACCUCUACAGAAAAUGUUGUCGAAGAACCCUCCUUUGUGGGCAUCACGACAAACAAAAGCUAUCAAAAGUCUAAAAGCAGAAGUGCAAAAGCUACCCCCUUUAAAGAUUCUUUCCUCAGGCAUGCGUAUUCUACAGACAGACGCUAGUGAUAAGUAUUGGGGAGCAAUACUGUUUGAAGAGAUGGAUGGGAAAAGACAAAUAUGUGGAUACAAGAGUGGUCGUUUCAAAGAUUCAGAGCAACAUUAUCACUCAACGUUCAAGGAGAUUUUAGCGGUCAAAAGGGCUAUCGAGAGGUUUGAAUUUCAUCUAAUAGGACACAUGUUUCGUAUAGAAAUGGAUAUGUCUUCAUUUCCCAAGAUGUUACAGUUCAAGCAGAAGAUGGUCCCACAUCAACAGCUACUAAGAUGGAGCGAAUGGUUCUCAAAGUACGAUUUCGAGUCAGUCUAUUUAAAGGGCACCAAGAACACUUUAGCAAACAUGCUUAGCCGAAAACCAGUAAAACAAGAAACGCCCUACGAGAUACACAUGAUGGCCAGUUCCUCCGAAUCCAAGAAGAGCUACUAUGACUUUGAAGCCGACGUACCCGAAGAUGUUCAUCAACUCAUCAGCAGAAACAAGCUUCAUGAACUACUACGCACAAAGAUCUUUUCAUAUCAAUCUACCAUCAUGUCGAACUAUGGAGUAAACUGUCACCACAUUGCUCCAAUGGGAAUUCAUCCUGACUAUCCGUUUGCACAUCUUUACAGAAUCGAGAAUUCAAACAUGCCAGAAGAAGUUCUCUGUUUUCUUUGGUAUCUCUGUGCUAUCUAUACUGUAGGAAUUGCUUUCGACAUCCAGUGGCUAUACCAUUACGUCAACACUGUUCAAGACAAAAGAGACUGUUUCUCAACAUUCCUAAGGUGGUUUUCACCAUUGACUGUUUGGAGUGGAAAACUACGAAAAUCCGCGAAAGCAACGAAUCUAACAUUCAAGAAGCUGAAAAAAAGUGGACUCAACCCAUUCUUCAAUCCACAUUCAAUCUACUUCUUUCAUCGUCCCGUUAAGGUCAACCGCAAAACAAGCAAAAUUCUUGCUCUUCCAACUCUCAUUCAUCACGGUGAUUUUUCAAGAGGAGUUCGUCCAGAUUUCAACCUUCAAGAUAACGAAGCAUACGAAAACUUCCAAACUCAUGCGUUUCACCUCAACAAUGCAAGACAGAUGUUUCCUAUUCCGUUCAUUUCCAACUGGGUUCACUAUCCGGUCGAUUAUCAGAUGCAAUUUGAUGAAGAUUUACAGUAUUACAUGAUGAAGUUUGACAGAGGAAGACCAAACAGUUCAAAAGAAGAUAAACAAGAAGAAACAACUUCCCAAGCGACUUCUCAAGAUUACUGUGCUGAUUACUUUAAGGACGCUCAAUCUCCAGAUGAUGAAGUAAAUGUUGAAGAUAUCGAAGAAAAGUUCAAAUUCUGCAUAAAUGUUCAACCAGAAGAAGAUGCACAAAUGAUUGAAGACUCGUAUGAAUGUCCAGAUGAUCAUUAUGGAUGCUGCGAAGAACAUAUGCUGGAAUUCGAAAUGGAUCAUUAAAAGGUAUGGAAAAUAUAAAAUAAGUAAAAUAUAAUAUGUAUGAUGUGUCUAAAAUCAUGUAAAAUAAAUAAUGAUGUAAGCGAUGAUGUAGUCGCUGAUGUAAUGAUUAUGUAAGCAAUGAUGUAAGCGAUGAUGUAAUCGCUGAGGUAAGCGCUUAUGUCAGCGCCUUAAAUCCUCCUAUAAAUAAGUGUGCACCCCUUGUAAGAAAUCACAACUUGAAAUAUCAUAAAAUUUCAUAAUAGCUUUCUCUCUCUAAAAUGUCUCUCUAACUUCUCUCUAAAUUUUCCAGACUUCCUAACUUCUUCAUAAACCUUGUUUUUUUCUAUUCUAAACACAGUCGCGAUUCUGUUUCUUUUCUUAAGGUUAGCAUAAGUGGUCCGUCAAUACGACGGUCGAACACGGCAGUCAAUAGUACUCGUCGGGGUUCACAGUUCCUAAUAGUAGGUUGAGUAACACGGAUGGCAAUGAGGCCCGAACCGCUCCCUUUACCUGGAAUAUGAACCCUUGCUUGUCGAUACGACUCGUCGUCUAGACUUAGUCAACACGACCCUCCGCUCGUGCUAGCUUUAAGAUUAUGGCACAAAAAAAAAAACUAAAAGAGUAUUUGAUUUUUUUUUGGUUAUUAAUUAAAAAUGGGAUUAUGAAUCUUUGAAUAAAGAGUAGUUGAAGCUUCUAUAAUAUGCAAAAGCUUCUUUUCUUUGAGGAGAUGCUUUAACACAUAUUUGACACUUUUUAUAAUAUUGUGCAAUAAAUCAUUCGCUAGUUCUAAACUAGCUUUUACUAUGAUAUUCAAAAUAUGUGCAAAACAUCUAACAAGCAUAAACUCUUCAUCACAUAAUAAACCACUGCCACUAAUCAUCUGAAGUUGACCUUGAGAAUGGUCUGCAUACUAUUAUGAUUUUCUGCAUUAUCUAGAGUAGUUGAAAAUACCUUCUUCUUUAGUCCCCAUUCUUUCAAACACUCCAAAAAUUUUUUAGAAAUUUCUUCAGUGUGUAGAGACUUCAAUUCACAAAAAAGCUAGAAUCUGACUGUUUAAUUUCCAGCCAUCAUGAAUGAAGUGUGCAAUCAAAAAAAUAUAACUCAUGACUGUGGCAUGAGCUGACCAUAAAUUUGCAGUGAAACAGACACGACCACGAUGCUUUGCAAGUACCUCUUUCAGCUUGAUCUUUUCAAUCUCGUACUGCCUAUACACAUCCGCUCCAGCAGUCUGUCUAAAAAUAGGUUGGCAUACUUGUCUCUUGCUCUGACUUUUUCAUAUUUAGCAUACCGAAAUGGAAAAUCAUGAUAAAUUAUGAUCUCGCUAGUCAUCUCACGGUCUAUCUUAUGAUCAUAUGCAUGCAUAUCUUCCUUUCUAGGCUUCAUUGAACACUUAUCCAAAUUGGCGAAUCAAACUCUUUGUUCCAUGUGUUUUAGUAUUAAUCACUAACUUUGUACCACAAUGGAUGCAUUUGCCUCUUUCUUUGCCAUCUUUUUUUGUCCCAACUAAUACAAAAUGGUUCCAAACUACUAAAGUUAAUCGUCUUUUCCUUGGAGCUUGAGUGUCACUUUGCUCUGGUUCUUCAAUUUCUAUUUCUCCCUCAUUCAUCUCAAUGUUUUCAUCUUGAGCAUCUUCCUCAUUCAUAUCAAUAUAUUGACUCGGAGCAUUGAGCAUUUCUAGUGUAUAUGGAGACUGUAAAUCCAUUCUGCAAAAUAAUAAACAAAUAAAAAUGUUAAGACUUCAGCUCCUUAGUACUGGUUAAGCAAGAUACUAAGAUAGGCAAGCUCAUAUAUCAAAUAAAAGUACUGGUACAAACGCCUAAAGUUUCAUGACUUAAGAUAAAUUAUAUAACACAUAUACUAUAUAUCAAAACGAAUGGAUAAGCGGAAAAAUAAAACCAUCGUGUCAUAUCACUACAAAAAAAGUCCACAUUCAUAGCACUGGGAAAUAGCUCAUUUUUCCCAACUGCUAUUAAAGAUGAGUAUGUAAUUUUGGUUACUAUGUUAUAGCGUUUAAUAAAUGCUAAGAUAAAAUUCGUAAGGGGAAAUCUAAAAUCGUUUAUACCGCCCAAAACUUGGCCAAAAUUAAAACAAAAGUUUUAAAUUUCACUUGUGUCCGCAAAAAUUUAGCCAAAUAUUACACUUUAUACCUCCCACACUUAGAAAAAAAUCACAAACCCCACUUGUGACCUAAUAUUUUCUUCACCUCUCCACACCCGACCUCCAACACUCAUCUUGUUCCAGCCCAGAGAAGAGAGAAAGAGAGAGAGAGAGAUUGCUUAGAAGAUAUUGGCGGACUUCAAAUCGGUUAUGGUACCGGAAUUUAGGAACUCCGUUUAGAUCUAGAGCCAUAAAAUCCAUAUUCGAAUGGGUCAACAGUGUUGCGAGAUUCUGACGCAACACCAACGAAAGCAAGAUUGGGUGAUAAAGCGAGAAACCCAGAUUGGAAUGGGUCUGGUGAAGAUGAGACAAUUAAGAACGGAGAAAAGAUUGUAAAGAGGUGGGUUUUGUGAUUUUGGUCGUUACUUUUAAUUUUCGUUUGAUUUUGAAUUGAAUUAGAUGUUGGCUUUUGUUUUUUUAUUUGUAUUCCUCUUUAUCAGAUCUGGUUUGGUAGGAUAUUGUGGAUCUAAGAGGAGUUUCGAUCUACAUGGAGUCUUUACUCAUGUAGUUCUUAGGAUUCAAGCAAACCAUACAUUUUCUAUGGACUGUCGAAAUUUCUCCUCUUUGGUAUAUGUGUGCAGUCUUUAAGAAAUGUUUGCAAUUGUUCAUGUUUACUCUAUUAAGAUGUUGUUACUUUUCUCUUUUUCUCAUUGCUGCUUCGAAUUGUUCUUUACUCUAUUAAGAUUGGUAAGUGUGAUCUUGAAGAAUUUAAUUUGGUUACUUUGGCCUAGGUUGUUACGAUUUAGAUAACAAUUACUCUACAGAUUUGUAAUCGUAAUGGUAAUGUUUCAUACUUGAUCCUUGAUUGGAGUAUGUUUUUUUAUGGCUUUUGAUGAUUGAUGCUGCAGGUUUUGAUUGAUGCUGCAGGUUUUGAUUUUCUGUUGCAGGUUUUAGUUUCCAAUUUUCAGGUUUUGGUUUCUAAAUUUGCAAGUUUUGGUUGUCUAAGUCGCAAGUUUUUGGGAUUCUCUGGUUAGCUACAUACAUAUAUCUUUUUUUUUUAAAGAUGUAAAAGACUUGUGUUAGAGUAGGAGGGCUUGACGAGGAAGGUAAAAUGCUCUUCUUCUCUUUCUACGUUAUGAUGUGACUAUAGAAAGAGCUACAUUGUGUGAUCUUUAUUCUUGAUUAUCCAGGUAAAGGGUGUCUUUACUUACGACGCUGUUGGAUCAAAUGAGAGAGUUGUAUAUGGUGCUCAGGUUCUGGUUCCACACUCAUCAUGCCUUUCCUUGACAACCAGCUCAAGUCUCCAAGUCCUCUUCUGCUACCUAAACAGGUUUGUUGAUAUUCUUCAUUCGUGCUUUGGCGUUACACAUCAUAAGAAUAAAAUGAAUCAUUAAGUUGCUUAUUUGUUCGUCUUCUGCCACCAUGUAAGUUAUUUUUUAACUUACAUGGGUUCUGUUUUUUUACAGUGCAGGGACCAAAUGUUAAUACCAGUCCUAGUAAUUGUACUCUCAUGUGCCUAGAUUCAUUGAGAAAGCAAGAGCUAAAGUCAAAGGGUUUUGAAGAGUCAUUAGCUUUAGCGGUGAGUAUGAAUGAUUAAUGAUACGUUUGGGUCUGACCUUUGUUCUUACCUCUAUGAUGAGUAUGUGUAUACAGAGAUGUUAACGUUGACUAUGGGAAAGAAUGACAAGACCAAAGGAAGCAUAUGGUCCAGAGGCUAAGGCAAGUUUCUUUUCAUAUUUUCUUAAAGGCUGGUGAAUAAGCUGCAGUAGAAGCAAUUUUGGUCAUUGGAUUGUCUUUGAAGUCUGAUGCUAAAAAGACCAUCAUGAAUCUCAGGUUCCCUUCAAACCAGGUGAUUCUCAUUCAACAUAUCUAAGAGUUUAUGCUUUCAAGAAGCAGAGACUUCUGCUUAUGUCUGAUACUCCAAGGAAGCAGGUGGACAGGCUAAAUCCUUCCUCUUAACUUACAAGUACGAAGAAGUUUUGGUACCCAUUAUUAAAGAUUUUGUUUCUCUUUUGUUCUUUAUCAUUAAACUUUAUGAUUAGCAUUCUUUAUCGUGUAGGAGCAGUACUUGAUGUUUUAGUUUAAGAUUUAGUUUGGAUUAUAGUUUGUAAGACUUGUUAUGUUUUUUAUGGAUUUUCAAUGAAAUAAAAAUAUAUUUAAUAUAGUUGUUGACCAAUAUUAAUUUAUAUAGAAUAUAUAUAAAUAUAAAUGUAAAAUUUAAUUGGAAAAAACCAUUUAUAUUAGAUCAAUAGCUAUGAAAAAGAGUUACAAAACAAAGCAUACUAGUAUAGCAUUUAAAUUACGCUACAACAACAAAAAAUCCAGAGAGCAUUGCUAUAUAUCAAAGCGUUUAACUAAUGCUAUGGUAGAAUACUCUAUCAUAACAUACGGAAAAAACGCUAUCGUAUGUGGGGGUGCUACCAUAACAGGGGCAUAAGACAGCAUUUAUGAAAACGCUAUUGAUGACAUAUAAUAGCUCUUCUCUCUUGCUAAUAAUGUAGAUAUUUCUUGUAGUGCAUAGUCUACUACGGACCAACAUGUAAUUAAUAAGGCAAUGCAUUUAGUCCGUUUAGAAGGAGCCAUUGACUAUUGACCAUUGACCAAUCAANNNNNNNNNNNNNNNNNNNNNNNNNNNNNNNNNNNNNNNNNNNNNNNNNNNNNNNNNNNNNNNNNNNNNNNNNNNNNNNNNNNNNNNNNNNNNNNNNNNNUAGAACAAUCUCAAUGAUAUGAAACAUAUACGACAUCUUCAAUGCACUUAUCCGCGAAUCCUAUUUAAUCCAAUUCAACAAAACUACAAGGAUCUUAAAACGGAAGAACAAAUUGAAAACCCAACAAAGACUCUAUGGAUCAAACAAAAUGAAGAAAACUCACUUAAAUCUAUUUGAUUGCGAUAAAGAUUAGAAAGAUUAAAACAGAGCUUCGUUGGGAUUAGAAUAGAGAUUCAUCGGGAUUAGAGCAGAGCUUCGCCGGAGUAAAGUAGAGCCACGCCAAAAUUCGGCUUGAAGUUGAGAAUGAGGAUGAACUGAGAAACUACGAUAAACCAGAACUAAACUAUAACGGCGUCGUUUUGGGCAUAGAAAAUUUCGAAAAAUAAAUAAAUGGGCUACCCGAUUAUUAUUGUUUAGACUCGUUAGGAAUCGGGCUUAAAUGGGUGUAACCUUUUAUAAUUUUUGUUUCUUAAACAAGUUCGGCUGCAAAAACAAUACAAAUAGCUCAUUUGGACCUGCGGGUUUAGAGCCUAGUUUAACAUCAUUAGUUACGAUAAACCAGUUAGUUUAUCAAAAGAAAAGUUAUUACAUUCGAUGAAAUUUAAAUUUUUUUAUAACUACACAAGUAUCAUUUUUAUUGCCUAAUUUGAAAUGCAAUAUAGUAUUUUACAAAUAACAAGUAUCAUGUUGAUUUAAAUGUUUAUUACUCCCUCUAUUUCAUUAUAUUAGAUGUUUUAGGGAUUUUAUUUUGUUUCAAAUUAUAAGAUGUUUUGUUAGUUUCAAUAUAAAUUUAAAUGCAUUUGGCAACUUAUGACUAUUUAUAUUAUGUAGUCCUUUUUGUGAUUGGUUGAAUUUUUCUUAAACUAAAUAUAAAUAAUGUUUUUAAAAGAAAAUAAAUGAUCUAAAUAUGUGUGCAUUUACCUUAAACUCAUAUAUAUUGAAAUAGAGGGAGUAUAAUUUAAUUAUGUUAUUAGUUUUGUGUAGUCAAGCCGUAAAUUUUAUAAGCAUUUAUCAUCUCAAGUACAAACAUUGUACUAAACCUUCCAGCCAUAUUUUAACCCUUAUGGCAUGUGUUCAUAUAUUUAUUUCAGAUAAAAAGGUCAAUGCGAAGAAAGAUUGAAGUUUUUGCUAUUAAUAGUGGUGGAAUAAUUAGUCACAGAGGUUAGAAUAUUUUUAUUAAAAAUGGAUAAAAUUUUAUUUUUAAAAAUCACAAAUACUCAUCUUAAUGAUAUAUUAUACACUAGUUUAUUUUAUAAAAAAAAAUUUAUCACAAUUUCGUUGGUCACAAUAUCAAACACUUGUUUUUAAAUAAAACAAAUUCAACAAUCACUACAAAAUGGAUCACCAAUACUAUUACGCCAUACCAUAUUCAUUGUUAAAAUUAAAAUCUUCUUUCAGUUGUUGGAGAUACAACAGAUAAGCUCAAAGGUAACUUCCAAAGUCGAUAAACCAAAUAAUGACAACUGUCUUUUUUGCCUCAAUCAUUUCACCAGUGAGAUCAUCAAUAAUCAACUAAAAAUUUAUUAAGGUAGCAAACUAAAAAUAAUAAAAGUUUUUAUCUAGAAUUUAAUUCAACUUGAUUUCAAAAGCAAUGUCAAAAGUAAAUGAAUGAUAUAUAUAGCUACAAUUAAUUAGGUUUUGUGUUAAAGGCGAUGAAUUGGUAGCACUCGACAUGUUAUCUGUGGAGUUUUUGUUGUUCUUGGUGUAGGAAAUAAGAAAGGAUUGAACUUUGAAACUUGUAAUCUUAUUUCUCAAUACUAAGCUCAAAGAGGAUACACUCUGUUUUAUAGGGUUUUAUAGAACAGUCUAGACCAAUGUGGAUUUAGAACUCUCUAGAAUAGCCUAGUCAUCACUAAGAGAUAAGAGCGUAUCAAAUCUGUUGUGAAGGCGCGUUUCCUUAGCUGGUUCAACGUUUCUUUUUGUAGGUACGGAGACUGCAUUUGGCUUAACUUGAGGUGGAAGAGAAGUAGCUGUUGUUGGGCUUUUCUUCUCAUGGACUGGUUUGACGCCCAUCUUCUCUUUGUCACUUACACUUGGUGUUGUCGGUGUCGGUUCAAUUGGUGAACGUGACUUUCUGGGUGUUAUGGCUAGGUUCUCUGAGUGUUGUAUAGAGGCGGCGAAUAGGUCUAAGUGGCAUCACUAACUCGUUGAGCUAGUGUAGAUUCCGCAGUUGCAUGUACGUUUUUGCGUUAGUUCUCGGAAAAAGUGCAUGCUUCUAUCACGAGGCUUUGAGGAGUGAUCCCGGAUAGAGCGGCUCGUGGAAACAAUGAUGAGGAUUCCAUUACUUCUGAUAUGUGGCAACUAUACAAAUUUCCGAAUUUCGCGGUCUUGGAAUUGGUGUUUCUACUCGCAACUUAGCCACCUUCAUUUAGUAGCGAUCUGAAGCUUUUUGAGUAGUAAUAUCAGUCUUUAAGCCACCUUCAUUUAGUAGCGAUCUGAAGCUUUUUGAGUAGUAAUAUCAGUCUUUAAUUUUCUGUAGCGUGCUUUCAUUUGUUCCUGUAAUCUCUGUAACCUCUUACCAAAAAAAAAUGUUAUCUGUGAACACAAAGGUAAUUAACGUUCUUAGGCCUGGGCAAAUAAACCGAACCGAAUGUACCGAACCGAAACCGAAGAAAAAAAACCGAACCGAACCGAACCAAAAAUUUGAAAAUAACCGAAUGGAUAGUAAAUUUAAUAACCGAAAUAACCGUAACCGAAUCGGUACCGAACCGAAAUAUUUCGGUUUACCCGAAAUAUCCGAAAUACAAUUAUAUUUUCAAAAUAAUUAGUUAUUUAUAGACCAAAUAAACAAAAAUACUUGAAAAAUAUGUAAAAAUAGUUAAAAUACUCAAAAAUAACCGAAAUAUAUCCAAAAAUAUCAGAAAAUACUCAAAAAUAACCGAAAUAUCCGAAAAUAUCCUAAGCAAAAUAACCGAAUGGAUACUAAAUUUUAAAACCGAAACAACCGGAACCGAACCGAAACCGAACCGAAAUUUUAAAAUAUCCGAAUGGAUACUAAAUUUUGAAACCGAAAGAACCGAAACCGAAUGGACCCAACCGAUAACCGAACGGUUAACAGAAAGCCCAGGUCUAAACGUUCUUAAGAGUCAUAAUGGGCCUUUAUGGGCGGAAGAUAGCAAAAUGAGCCAUUUAUGGGCCAAUAACAAAUUUUUUUCCAAACCCACGAAAGAAAAAACUUAGGGUUUUCCACGUAUAAACGCUUGCUUUCGUCGACUCGCUCCCGUUGCCGCACCUGCUUCGCUUCUCCUCUCUGCUCUCAGGUAAACUAAUCGCACUUCUUCUCUUCGUAUUCAUCUUUUCGAUUUAUCAUGGAUCUUUACGAAUAUAGGCUAUAUAGCCGAUGGUGUUGAGUGUAGAACCAUUAGAGUAAUAGUUAUCAAUCUCUAGUUUUUUGAAAAACCCUAGAGCUCUCUCUCUCGCUUGCUAUAAAUAUCAUCAGAUGUUCAAUUUCGUAUUAUUGCUUUCACUUGCAAUCAUUUUUGAUCUCAGGUUUUUUUAUAAUGUUGUCAAUGUUGUUGUUGGUUCUUGUCUAACAUAAGAUGUUCUGUUUUUUUUUUUGCCUUCUUUGGAUAUAUAUAUAGGAUUCGUCUACUCUUCAAAGCUAAUCUUCAAGAUGCAAAACGAAGAGGGUCAGACCACUGAGCUUUACAUUCCUAGGAAAUGGUAAUUGAAACAUUUUCUUCUUCUUCUGUCUUUGGUCUCUGUGUUAUUGAAUUUUUGUAUUCUCUUAUUAAAGAUUGCUUCUUGUUUGUUUUUGACUGAUAUUGCAGCUCUGCUACUAACCGGUUGAUCACUUCCAAGGAUCAUGCCUCUGUUCAGCUCAACAUUGGUCAUUUAGAUGCUAAUGGCGUGUACACCGGACAAUUCACCACCUUUGCUCUCUGUGGUUUCGUCCGUGCCCAGGUUUGUAAACACUUAUAUAUAGACUCUGUGUUCCCAAUUUGUCAAUGCUUUGUCCAAAAUUGAGUCAAGAGUGAUUUGUUUUGUGUGUAUCAGAAGAGAGUUGAACAACCCUUGUUAGAUUGCAUUUUUUUUCUACUUAUCUUCAUCCAAUAGAUUGCUAAUUAUUGAUGUACAUGAUUGCAGGGAGACGCUGACAGUGGUGUCGACAGGCUGUGGCAGAAGAAGAAGGUCGAAGCCAAGCAAAACUAAGUGUUUAAGCUGUCGUUUUUUGGUCGAAUCUUGAUAUUUUUUUCCGAAAGAUUGUCUCAUACUGAAGUAAUGAUUUUGGCUUGAGUCUUGGAACUUAACUUAAUGCUUUUGUGCACCAGUCUUCUAACACUUUUAUCAUUCUGAAGUUUUUAGAUUUUGAGUCCAAAGUGAAUAAACAUUAGCACCUCCUUAUCAUUAGAUCAUCCUACUUAUUCAAUUUUGGUAUUUUGGUAUCUUUGAGAAAGUAGGAAAUUGGUGUUGUUUGAACAGUUAAAUUCUUUAACAAAACAAAUUUAUCGAAAAUGAAGAAACAUUACCACCUCCUUUUUUUUUUUUUUUUGUCGGCAAUUCAGUUUCAUUCAUAUCCCCAAUAGGCAAUUAAAGAAAGAAAGUAGAGGAUUAAAAGCAAUGUUAACAGCCCACUAAAACAUUAAUCGAUAUAAGCCCAAUGCUUUAGCAUUAGACACGUGUAGAAGACGUGUUCUUCUUCAGCCCACGCGUCAAAUUAUCGAGCACCACCGUCAACGAUCGCCGGACAUCGCCUUACUCCGAUUAGCCGCCGCCAAUCAGCCAUGGGACGAUGGAAAUCCUCCUCCCUUCCGCCGAUCUCCAAUCCAAAACUAAAGAUAACACCGAAAUCUUCUGGAUCGAUCUUAUGAAGCCGCUUCAAAAUUCUCCUGAUAGCACCAACUCCGGGGAAGCUUCACCACCGGUUACACCCAAAUUGAUGUAGCCUAAGAUCCAUCUUUGCUCAUGCGUUUUGAGCAAAAGGAGAUAAGAGUGACGAAGAUAUGACUCCUCGAGCAAUUGGGGAAACACAGAGAACUUGGAAGACAAACAGAGAAAGCGGUGGAAAGAUACAAAGAUGGAAAAGAGAUCGAAUCUCGCUAAAAGCGAGAGAAAAGACCGGACAUAGCCGGUAGAAACAGUCCGACACAUAGUCAUAAUUUAUUAAUCUCGCACAUAGACGAGAAUAUACACAAAUCCGGUCAUAACCGGAAACAAAAAACGGCCAUAAGCUUUUCCCCUCUGAAAGGUUUUAGAGAGAAGAGAGGAAAAGCUUCUCUUUGGUUCUCCACUAGAUACAUUACCACCUCCUUU
rnacentral:lncRNA from 1 species